GAUAAACGCUGGCGGCGUGCAUAAAACAUGUAAGUCGAACGGGUGGAAGCCGCAAGGCUGAAGCCAGUGGCGGACGGCUGAGUAACGCGUAGGUGACUUGCCCAGAAGUGGGGAAUAACGAUUCGAAAGAAUCGCUAAUACCGCAUGAGGUUGUGCGUAUAGACACGUGCAACGAAAGCUCGCAAGGGCGCUUUUGGAGAGGCCUGCGUCCGAUUAGCUAGUUGGUGGGGUAAUGGCCUACCAAGGCUCCGAUCGGUAGCUGAUCUGAGAGGAUGAUCAGCCAGACUGGGACUGAGACACGGCCCAGACUCCUACGGGAGGCAG
rnacentral:rRNA from 1 species